UGUCGGUAGGUCUCCUCUAGAACUUUCUCCAGGUGUCGGUAGGUCUACUCUAGAACUUUCUCCAGGUGUCGGUAGGUCUACUCUAGAACUUUCUCCAGCUGUCGGUAGGUCUACUCUAGAACUUUCUCCAGUUGUCGGUAGGUCUACUCUAGAACUUUCUCCAGUUGUCGGUAGGUCUACUCUACAACUUUCUCCAGUUGUCGGUAGGUCUACUCUAGAACUUUCUCCAGUUGUCGGUAGGUCUGCUCUAGAACUUUCUCC